GAGUUAUUACACGUGUCAUUCCUACUGUUCCAACUCACUCCGAUACUCAUUUUCUCAAGAGCUGCAGAAGAAGAGUAACAUCCACUCUACUACAUCGUGAGAAUAUGGUCCUCGCCUGGCGCCUCGUUCUGGUCGUUGCUAUGUUGAUGCCUGUGGUCAUGGGAUAUCCUGAUGUCCCCGAAGAACCUGAUACGUGUCUUCCGUUUCCGGCUCCGUGCGAGCGCAGCGAUGAAUGCUGCGAGAAGAUUUGCAACUACCACUUCAUGCACCCGGAAGUGAUGGUUUGCUACUAAUGACUUCAGGCUUACGAAUAAAGUAUUUCGACUAAGUGCUUGUUCUCCUCUACAUCGAAUAAACGUGUUCGUGUCAACAA